UUUUUUUGUUGAUUGUUUUUUAAUAAAAUUUACUAGUAUAUAAAGGCAUGAAAAUCAUCAAUCUUUUCAUCAAUCUUUUACAAGAUGAAAUUCAUUCUGGUCCUUCUUGUCGUGGUGGCUUCAAGCUCAGGCAUGCCAAGCCCCAACAGAAACCUCCAACCUGAUCAUGAAGACGUAGUUGCAACCAUAGAAAAAGUUUCUAGUGUAGAAACUUACGCUAUGGGCGAAGAAAUUAAAGUUGACAAAGGUAUCAACUUGUCGCCUGUUGUUUACGCCUGUUAGGGUGGACUAAAAAAACAUUUGUUUGAUUUUAUAUUGUAGUAUUUCGUUUAGCAUUGAAAUGUUUUAAGCACGCGAGCUUAGAAUUUUUUCUCGUAGUAUUUUGUUUUAGUUGGGUUUUGGUUAUAAUUCUAAUAACAAAGGAACCUACGAGCUCUAAACCAUAGCUUUCAUUUAAGGAGUUUAAGGUUUCAUUUAAUUUCGUUUAAGGAGUUCGAUUUGAUACGCAACAGUGCGCCUUCGUUUCAUGUGGAGCAAAGCUCCCAUAAGUAAUCACAAUUUUUAUAUAUGUAAAAUUUUGUUUGAAUAAACCACCAAAACCCUA